rnacentral:rRNA from 1 species
CAUUUGUCUUUUAAAUGAAGACUUGUAUGAACGGCAAAACCUCCUCCAACUGUCUCCCCUCCCAUCCUUCCAAAUUUCCUCCUGUGUGAAGAAGCACAGAUACACCAGAAAGACGAGAAGACCCUGUCGAGCUUUAACCACUAAGUGGGCCUUACCCUUUUAGGCACCACCCAAAGGUUUUGGUUGGGGCAACCACGGAGAAAAAACAUCCUCCAGAACGAAUAGAAGAAAGCUUUUCACUAUUAUUACGACUAAGAACCAGGAACUGGUAUUCGGAAAGAGUUACCGCAGGGAUAACAGCGUCAUCUCCUCUAAGAGUCCUUAUUGACGAGGAGGUUUGCGACCUCGAUGUUGGAUUGGGGCCCCCUUAGGGUGCAGAAGCUCUAAACGGUUAGACUGUUCGUCUAUUAAAGCCCUACAUGAUCUGAGUUCNAAACCGGAGAU